GGGCUGUACCCCUAUCCUGCGGGGACUCACUCGAGGGUGUUCUGGGAGUAUCAGGUCUCUCUCCUCACCAGGACAUGUGCCUGUCCCGUACCCUCUAGGGCCGUCACUUCCUGGGAACUCUGUCUGGAUCUGAAGAGUGGCCUCAAGCAGACUCCACCUCCCUGUCACCUCUAGGCUGCUGCACUGUGAGCCUGCCACGGCAGGGGACUCCUGUCCCCACCGUCUUAGGGGACCCGUGAGGCCUGGGCUUCUACGGCUCAGAACCUGUGGAGACAUUCACGAAAGGCCCCUCACGCGAAGCCCUGGCAUGUGGUGUCACGCAGACCGGCAGCUCGCUAUGGGGCCUCCAGAAAGGCCAAGUGACCUUGUGGUCAUGGACAGUGGGGUCUGGGUGGGCAGAGCUGUCUGUCCCAGGGGCUCUUCCCCAGUUGUCCUGUGCUCAGGGUGGCAGGGUGCCUUGGCUCUUCCUGGCGAGCACCCCUUGUUCCCUGCAGGUGGCGCUGUCUCGUGCUGCGCCCUGUGACUGUAUGCCUUACUGUCUGCCUCAGAGAGGAAGGUCCUGCACUGACCACAUCGCUGCCUUUCCCUUUCCUGCCUGGGGUUGGCCCUUCCGGAGUAUCUCCUCCUCACAGGAACUCCGAGCUCUGUGGAGAGCAGAGGCUGGGAUGGGAACCCUUGAAAGUAAUGCCAACGCAUCUGCUCCCGAGGCUGCUGCCUCUCCUGAUGGUUUGGCUGUAGCUUCCCUUCAGCUGCAGUGGCCCGUGGGUCUCUGCAGAAGUGGUGAUCUUGGGGAUGAGGUCUCCGUCAGCUGAUAUCCGAGCAGGCCUGUGGCUUCCUGUACAGUAUGUUUCCCUGAUACGCAAACCCUGGCUUCGUGUACUCAGUCUUGGGAGCGCCGUGGAGUCUGGCUGAUUGUACUGUUCACGCCCCUCCCCUGUGCAAGCCCUGUCUGCAGACGUGUGGUUGGACCGGCCUGGGUCUCCUCGCGGAGGUGCUCUCUGAGGAGGAUGGCACCUUCCAGGCGCUGCUCACAGUGCCGGGCGCUGGCCCUCCCCAGGAGGGCCCACCUCUGCCCUUGGCCUGUGCCACCCUUGUUUUGCUCUGCUGCCACACUUGGGGCCUCACUUGAUCCUGGUGUAGAAAGAAGACUUGCUUUUUCUUUAUGGGGAGGAGAUUCUUUUUGUUUUCUUUUCCUGUUUUUCGUAUUUCCUUUUAAAAGAAGGUGGAGGGAAGAGUGGCACCAGGGCUGAUCUGUUGGCUGCUCCCCAUCCCAGCAGGAAGUGGGCCAUGGCUUCGUGACCUGUUGUCUGGGGAGGCCAGGGCUUGCUUUUCCUCUUGAGGCGCUGACGUUCUUGCCUGUAUGAACUGCGUCCCCAGCCGUUUCGUUUCGUAAUGCCUUGUAGUUAAAUUUAGUUGUCUUCUAGCACACAAUUGACCUCCCCUCUCGCUCUCCCCCCUUCCAAGUGGGUCUCUUCCUUCUCCGCUGGAUUGCACGCUGCAAACCCUUGUCCUGGAGGGGCUGCCUCCCUCUCCCAGGUGGUGGAGUGCCUGACCUGACUUUUGACGGUGCUCAUCGCUGUCCGGCAGAAGCCAGCCCCUCCCUUCCCAGAAAACCAUCAGCCAAACAGGGACCAGGAAGAAUGAGGCCCAGAAACCACCACCACCACCACCCACCCCCCGUUCUGGGUGCCCGUAGUGUGUAAGCACAUGUUAGUGACCUCAGUUCUUGCCAUGGUGGCCUCUCGGCACAGAGCUUGCCUUUGUGCUUGGGAGUGCAGGUGACGGCCCCUGUGCAGUGGGCCCUCACCAGUGUUCCUCACUGCCCCGUUCACCUAUCGUGAGGAGCCACUUCCCACUGUGUCCUGGCUGUGUGGCCACACCCAUGUGUGUACAGGCGUCCCUGCCCUCUGUACUUCCUCUCCAGUGGCCUGGGGAGCCCCAGGUGUUGCCAAGAUCUUGGUGCAAUAAAUAAUGUGCUGUUGUGGGUCCGUUCUGUG
rnacentral:lncRNA from 1 species